rnacentral:rRNA from 1 species
GCAAGCGUUGUCCGGAGUUACUGGGAGUAAAGGGCGUGCAGGCGGUUUUCUAAGUUCGGAGUGACAGUUCCCGGCUCAACUGGGGAAGGCCUACCGAAAACUGGAGAACUUGAGGGCCAGAGAGGGACAUAGAAUUCCGGGUGGAGUGGUGAAAUGCGUAGAUAUCUGGAGGAACACCGGUGGCGAAGGCGGCAUCCUGGACCGACACUGACGCUGAGGAGCGAAAGCCAGGGGAGCAAACGGG